UAGGGAAUCUUCGGCAAUGGACGGAAGUCUGACCGAGCAACGCCGCGUGAGUGAAGAAGGUUUUCGGAUCGUAAAGCUCUGUUGUAAGAGAAGAACGAGUGUGAGAGUGGAAAGUUCACACUGUGACGGUAUCUUACCAGAAAGGGACGGCUAACUACGUGCCAGCAGCCGCGGUAAUACGUAGGUCCCGAGCGUUAUCCGGAUUUAUUGGGCGUAAAGCGAGCGCAGGCGGUUAGAUAAGUCUGAAGUUAAAGGCUGUGGCUUAACCAUAGUACGCUUUGGAAACUGUUUAACUUGAGUGCAGAAGGGGAGAGUGGAAUUCCAUGUGUAGCGGUGAAAUGCGUAGAUAUAUGGAGGAACACCGGUGGCGAAAGCGGCUCUCUGGUCUGUAACUGACGCUGAGGCUCGAAAGCGUGGGGAGCAAACAGGAUUAGAUACCCUGGUAGUCCACGCCGUAACGAUGAGUGCUAGGGGUNNGGUGNCNUUUUCCGGGACUCAGUGNCGCAGCUAACGCAUUAAGCACUCCGCCUGGGGAGUACGACCGCAAGGUUG
rnacentral:rRNA from 1 species